UGCAUUUACAUUGAUCCUUAGGAUGUGAGCAAAUAGAGAUAAGAAAUGUAUUAGAAAGGCUCAGCUCAGAAUUAGGAAAUAUGUGUAAAUAAGAUAACAUGAGGUGCUCAGACCCACACAUUAGAAAUCAGGACACGUUAGGUUUCACCUCACCAAUUUAUGAAAGGACAAGAAUAAGCUAUAAGUGUAAAAGAGAAAGGUGAGCUUAGGGCCUAUGCGUGGGUAGUUUAGACUGUACUUACAUACUGAGCACCCAUCUCGAUUUUGACUAUAAAUAAGAAAAAUGUGACCAGAAUAAAUCAGUUCGUUUCUUGAUUGGAAAACGAUCAAGUCGUGGAUGAUUAUUCCUUCCGAAAAUUCAUCUUCAAGGAACUCAAUUGAAUAGCUCAGCUAUUCAGGACAAGUCUCUCUCCAGGAUUGACAUACUGCCCCUCCAUAGUCGGGCAAGUAGCACCUGGGCAUUCUUAGCCUGAAUCCUGAGUUAUUCACCAGGGUCAAGUUCUAAUACUUGCCAACCACUUCAAGUUUCUCUCCAAGAUUGACAUACUGCCCCUCCAUAGUCGGGCAUGUAGCACUUGGGCAUUCUUGAGCUGGAAGCAAGAACCAGAACAAGUUUGAAACCAGCUACCGUCAUUAGACGUUAGCUUGCUUCGAACAUCAUACCCACCAAGGCUCCUACCUACGUUCAUUUCCAACAAAGUUACCCUGCUCCCUCAAUUCCUUCGGUUGGGAUUGGCGUCGGUAACAAUUAGGUAUUUGGUAUUUUCAGAAGAUGUCGUUAUUUUUUACCUAGAAGUAGAUAUUUCUGGUGUUUGUCAAAAAAGCGUUGCUCUGUUUCAUACAAUUUCCUGUUCUUCCUUGUUUUCAGGAUUAUUUAACAAAAAAUACGUGAUCUGGAAAUGAGGACCCUGAUUUAUUAGUAUCGUUUCCUCAACAGGAAUAUUCCCGCAGAUCAGUGCUCUUUAGGUAUCAGUAGCUGCGUGUUUUCGGCUAGCACGAACAUACAAGCCAUUAAAUAGUCGAGAAAAUUCUGCAACCAAAAAAAUCUUGGACCGGAUCGGGAUCCGGACCCAGUCAUCUGCAGCAUGGUCUACGGCGUACGUCAUAAACCGCUGAGCAACGGAACAUCUGUUUUCGGGUAUUUAGGAAGUGUUCACUGCUUCCUCAGCCAAAUGUAUUCAUAGGCAUAGUAAAUUUCCAAUUAAUGGUUGUGAAAAUGGUUAUAGAACACUAAGUUAAAAGCAGGCCAAGUUCCUGUUGGAAGAGCUAACUACAUAGUGUCAUAGUAUAUUAUCUAGCUGUGAUGAAAAUGAUUAUGGGGAAGUUUGAUCAGAAUAAAUGGUUUUGCUUGUG